AGAGAGAGACCUCAACAUGACAAGUGAUAACGAAAUCGAAACAAGGAUGUGCAGUGGGAAAGACAUUACGAAAUUUACCUACUGGGUGGCCUCGCCCUGUGUGACCGUCCCUUCGGUGUUCCGCAGGGCCCAAGGAGAGGGAAAGAAAUGUUGACAGACAAAGCAACAGGUCCUGAGGAAUCUAUGGCACCUAACAGUCACCUACAGAAUAAGGUGGACGAGCAUCUUGAGGAGAAGAAUAAGGUCCUGUCAACCCACCGGAUGUAAAGGCUCUUCGAUGCUCUUAUGUUGACUUAAGGAUAAAGAAACGGGAGAUCAGGAACGCCACAGAAGCAACACUCGUCACUUCACGCCUCAAAGAUUUCACCCACACCAUUCAUCUUGCAUUACUAUCGAC